AUGCCUGCCUCCUCCUAUGGAAAUCUCCAAGCAACUUCCGCCGCCGCCUCGACGGGGGACCUGAUGCCUGCCUCCUCCUAUGGAAAUCUCCCAGCAACUUCCGCCGCCGCCUCGACGGGCGACCUGAUGCCUGCCUCCUCCUAUGGAAAUCCCCAAGCAACUUCUGCCGCCGCCUCGACGGGCGACCUGAUGCCUGCCUCCUCCUAUGGAAAUCUCCAAGCAACUUCCGCCGCCGCCUCGGCGGGCGACCUGAUGCCUGCCUCCCAAGAUAGGCCUCACGCCUCCCCCUCCCCCUCCACCGGCGACGCUCUCCGUCCACGGCUGCACAUGUCAAGAUGGCGCGAGGAGAGGGAAAGAGAGACAGCAUUGUUGGAGACUUCCUCUUCCUCUAUGCCACAAGCUACAAGGCAUGAGGAGAGGGAAAGAGAGACAACACUGGAGGAGACUUCCUCUUCCUCUACACAAACUACAAGGUUUAAGGUGCCAGAUCUCUUGUCAUUGAAGCUUGACAUAAAUCUCUUGGCUGAUUCAUGUAUUUCGACAUUGUUCCCCACUGGUCUUGUGAUAAAAUAUUUUGUGAGAGUUGACAAUGAUGGAAUUUUCCAUACGUAUCCUGACCGUGGUGGACCGUUUGAGAGCAUAAAGGAAGUUCAGGAAGCCAUUGACUCCCACCAUGCUGUUCAGCGAAAAAACAUAUGCAUGGAUGGACUUACCGACGAGGAGAGGGCUAUCCGAUGUGCUCUUUACUGGUAUCAUAAUGGCACACGGAAGCACUCCAAAGAAGCUUUUGAUUACUGUACGACGGGUCUCCAGGAAUUGGUUAAGGCUGUACUCGACAAAUACAAUGAGGACAAUGGUCUUGUAGGGGAUCUUGCAUAUGAACUAGAAAAUAUUGUGAGCCACAAAUCAUGUUUUGACGGGAAAGAUUGCAUUUAUAGAUCUUACGAUCAUUUCAAUCUCACUAUGAAGACUAAAGGAGCUGCCAACAAGGAUCUGUACUUUGCUGAAGUCACAUGUAUGGACGGCGAUUAUGAAGCAUAUGUGCUCACCUGUAUCUGCAUGGUCAAACCUGAUGACAAUGGUGAAUGCCACGUGUGUGGAGCUGACAUGAAGCACCCUGCUCAUGAUGGAUACAACCGUGGCCGCCCCUUUAUUUCAUAUAGACAUGGUAGACGUCGUGCACGUGGAGUUCCUUUAUUUGAGAAGUUAUUUGCCGUGCGUGAUGAAGCUUGGCUGAAAGAAGAGGAGGCUAGGGUGAGACGUAUGAUCACGGAAGGGAAGGAGGAAAGGCGCAAGUUUCAUACCGGCUAG
rnacentral:rRNA from 1 species